GUGCUCGCUUUGGCAGCACGUAUACUAAAAUUGGAACAAUACAAAGAAGAUUCGCAUGGCCCCUGAGCAAGGGUGACAUGCAAAUUUGUGAAGCAUUCCAUAUCUUU
rnacentral:snRNA from 1 species